rnacentral:snRNA from 1 species
UCUCGGCCUUAUGGCUAAGAUCAAGUGUAGAAUCCGUUCUAAUCAGUGUGAAACCUGAUUUCCAUGAUUUUUUGAUGUUUAUUUUCACAUUAUUUUUUUGCAAUCGUCUCAGCUCGCUAUUCGCUCAUGUAAUGUAUUCAAGAUUUUUUUAGUUGAAGCAAGCUGCAUCAACACAAGAGA